GUGCGCAGACAAUAAAUAGGAGUUUUUGCCCAUCUUACAUUUAGAAUUACGCGUAAAGUGAUAUUACUAAUAAACCAAACAUAUUAAAGACCUUGGGUCUUUUGAUUUAAGGUCCUUGGUUUGUGAACUUGAAAUUGAGGUCAAGGUCAUAGGUUAAUAUGACGUUCUAGAUUUUGACCUUUGCUUUAAAUUCAUAUAAAUACAUCAUACAGCCAUAGGAACUAACAUUUUAAACUGAUUUUUAAUAUUUCAAUAUCAAAAAAGAUCUUUUCUAGUGGAAAGACCUACAAUUGUUCUCUGAACAAUUGGUUUUUAAUUAUUAUUAAGUUUUUUUUUUUUUCUUCCGACCUAAUUUUUUUUCUUGGCGGAUUAUUGAUGUUCAAAGAUGUCGCUUAGAUAUGGAAUAUGUAUCGUAAGUGUAUACGCUUAAAAAUUUACAACUGUUGUAACAAAUACUUACGUCGUUAAGAGUUAUCUCCCCAAACACUGUUUUUCUUGUGGCCACUACUCCUUCCGCAACCCUUAAAGAUACGACAAAUUUAUUUUACCAAAUUGCUCGUUACAUCUUCAGAUUAGAAUAUCAUUUGGACCGAAGCUAUUACGGAGACUCCAUAUGAGAGUUAUUCCCUUCCCUUAAUAAUUGAUAUGACCAUUUCUUAGAAUGGUAACCAUAAGGAUAAAACAAUAGGCUUUCAGAUGAGCUUCCUUGGUCCAAAAUAAUAAAAAUGAAAGGCAAGCAAAGGUCAAAGGUCAUAUUCUAAAAUUAUUUUGGCUAUUCUUCAUUAUUUCAAAUACUUAAAUGACAUAUCGACAAAAUAAUUUACGUUACGACAUUCACUACUUGUAUAUUUUAUUGAAAGUGGCAGGAAAUAGAUUUCCAUCUUACAUGUAGAUACGCGUAAAGUACUAUACUAAUAAACCAACAUAUUAAAGACCUUGGUCUUUGAUUUAAGUCCUGGUUUGAAACUGAAUUGAGGUCCAAGUCUAUGUCAGAUAUACUCUAAUUUUGACCUUUGCCCUUAAAUUCAUAUAAAUUACAUCAUACAGCCAUGGAACUAACAUUUUUAAACUGUAUUUUAAUAUUUCAUAUCAAAAUAGAUCUUUCUAGGGAAAACCUACAUGUCUCUUAACAAUGGUUGUAAUAUUAUUAUAUUUUUUUUUUUUUUCCGCCUAAUUUUUUUUCUUGCGUAUUAUUGAUGUUUCAAAAGAUGUCGCUUAGAUAUUUGGAAUAUGGUAUCGUAUAGUUUAUACGCUUUAAAAAUUUACAACUGUGUAACAAAAUACUUUACGUUGUAAGAGUUAUCUCCCCAAACACUGUUUUUCUUGUGGCCACUACUCCUUCGCAACCAUUAAAGAUUACGACAAAUUUAUUUUACCAAAUUGCUCGUUACAUCUUCAGGAUUAGGAUAUUCAUUUGGACCGAAGCUUUACGGAGACUCCAUAUGAGAGUUAUUCCCCCUUUUCCCUUAAAUUAAGUGAUAUGCAUUUCUAAAUGGUAAACCAUAAGUGAUAAAGACAUAGGGUCUUUAGAUUUGGGGUCCUUGGUCGAAAAUAAUAAAAAUGAGGUCAAGGUCAAAGGUCAAGGUCAUAUUCUAAAUUUUGAUUUUGGCUUAUUUUCAUUUAUUUUCAAAUACCUUAUGACAUAUCGACAAAUAAUUUUUCAUAAAUUGUUAGUUGCGACAUGUCCUUACUUGUAUAUUUUGAUUGAAAGGGUGCGCAGACAAUAAAUAGGAGUUUUUGCCCAUCUUACAUUUAGAAUUACGCGUAAAGUGAUAUUACUAAUAAACCAAACAUAUUAAAGACCUUGGGUCUUUUGAUUUAAGGUCCUUGGUUUGUGAACUUGAAAUUGAGGUCAAGGUCAUAGGUUAAUAUGACGUUCUAGAUUUUGACCUUUGCUUUAAAUUCAUAUAAAUACAUCAUACAGCCAUAGGAACUAACAUUUUAAACUGAUUUUUAAUAUUUCAAUAUCAAAAAAGAUCUUUUCUAGUGGAAAGACCUACAAUUGUUCUCUGAACAAUUGGUUAUU
rnacentral:lncRNA from 1 species